rnacentral:lncRNA from 13 species
AUCUUGGCAUUUUUAAAGCGUACUAAAGUUCACAUAAUAUAAAACUAAACAUUUUUGGCAUACGCAACAUGCCUUCUAUUUAGAACGCAAGUAUGGGUAAUUGGACACUGCCACUGUGUUUAUGAAACACCGUACCUGAACGUUCUACAAGUGUUUGGGGAUUAUUUGCUGACGUUAUACAACCACACGGAAACCAGAUCAAACAAUCCCUGUAAGGAUCCUAGUUGGUUGGGAGAGCCACGUCUCAUUAAGUGUGUAAGGACAUCAGACUAUUAGAGGGGACUUGCUUAUCGCGGCAGCAUAAUAGUUGUCGAAGAAUGUAGGCUACACGGGUCAGUUUAAAAGCACCUUACCUUAUGAAAGAUCACGGCAAUAUGCUGAAUUUCAACUGAAUCAGGAGGGUAGCGGCUGGAAAAUGUACAUUAAUCCUAAAAAGGGAUUAGGUCUCACUCAAAGAGCAAUCACUUGUCAUACAUUUUACACAUACCUGUCAAUCACACAGAUGGCACUCUUGAAUCCUCUCGACACAUGAAUCUCUUAUCAGUGAUGUAGUGCCCAUUCUGUAUUGAAAGGAGUGUUAGCUCCACUUGUUUUGGAAUGGAAUUUAAGGGAAAAAUCAUAUUUUUAGAAGUAAUAUUUUUUAAAUGCUUUCUGGUGUUAAAUGCUAUUGUCCACAUUAAUAUAUUAUAAAAGAUUUGGAAAAAUGAAUAUAUAGUAUAGGGAGAUGAACCCCCCCCCCACCCAAAAAAUGUUUUUAUUGUGAAUUUACUAAAUAUUGCCAUACUCUGCAGCCCCCUUUGAAUCUGGGGCAAUACAAUGUUUAAAUUACUUCACAUCAAAUGAAUGCCUAUCUUAACACACUUUUAUUGUAUUAAA